GCAUAUCAAUAAGCGGAGGAAAAGAAACCAACAGGGAUUGCCCUAGUAACGGCGAGUGAAGCGGCAACAGCUCAAAUUUGAAAUCUGGCUCUUUUAGAGUCCGAGUUGUAAUUUGCAGAGGGCGCUUUGGCGUUGGCAGCGGUCCAAGUUCUUUGGAACAGGACGUCACAGAGGGUGAGAAUCCCGUACGUGGUCGCUAGCCUUCGCCGUGUAAAGCCCCUUCGACGAGUCGAGUUGUUUGGGAAUGCAGCUCUAAAUGGGAGGUAAAUUUCUUCUAAAGCUAAAUACUGGCCAGAGACCGAUAGCGCACAAGUAGAGUGAUCGAAAGAUGAAAAGCACUUUGGAAAGAGAGUCAAAUAGCACGUGAAAUUGUUGAAAGGGAAGCGCUUGCAGCCAGACUUGCCUGUAGUUGCUUAUCCGGACUUUUGUCCGGUGCACUCUUCUGCGGGCAGGCCAGCAUCAGUUUAGGCGGUUGGAUAAAGGUCUCUAUCACGUACCUCCCUUCGGGGUUGGCCUUAUAGGGGAGACGACAUGCAACCAGCCUGAACUGAGGUCCGCGCAUCUGCUAGGAUGCUGGCGUAAUGGCUGUAAGCGGCCCGUCUUGAAACACGGACCAAGGAGUCUAACAUCUAUGCGAGUGUUUGGGUGUCAAGCCCAGACGCGUAAUGAAAGUGAACGGAGGUGGGAACCUUUUAGGUGCACCAUCGACCGAUCCUGAUGUCUUCGGAUGGAUUUGAGUAAGAGCAUGGCUGUUGGGACCCGAAAGAUGGUGAACUAUGCUUGAAUAGGGUGAAGCCAGAGGAAACUCUGGUGGAGGCUCGCAGCGGUUCUGACGUGCAAAUCGAUCGUCAAAUUUGGGCAUAGGGGCGAAAGACUAAUCGAACUAUCUAGUAGCUGGUUCCUGCCGAAGU
rnacentral:rRNA from 1 species